CACAGGGAAACUUGUGCUAAUACCGCAUAAUGACUCCGGUCCAAAGAUUUAUCGCCCGAGGAUCGGCCCGCGUUAGAUUAGGUAGUUGGUGGGGUAAUGGCCUACCAAGCCUACGAUCUAUAGCUGGUCUGAGAGGAUGAUCAGCCACACUGGGACUGAGACACGGCCCAGACUCCUACGGGAGGCAGCAGUGAGGAAUAUUGGACAAUGGAGGCAACUCUGAUCCAGCCAUGCCGCGUGAGUGAUGAAGGCCUUCGGGUUGUAAAACUCUUUUAGGUGCGACGAUGAUGACGGUAACACCAGAAAAAG
rnacentral:rRNA from 1 species